CUAAACGAUGUCAACUAGUUGUUGGGGAUUCAUUUCCUUAGUAACGAAGCUAACGCGUGAAGUUGACCGCCUGGGGAGUACGGUCGCAAGAUUAAAACUCAAAGGAAUUGACGGGGACCCGCACAAGCGGUGGAUGAUGUGGAUUAAUUCGAUGCAACGCGAAAAACCUUACCUACCCUUGACAUGGACGGAAUCCUGCUGAGAGGUGGGAGUGCUCGAAAGAGAACCGUCGCACAGGUGCUGCAUGGCUGUCGUCAGCUCGUGUCGUGAGAUGUUGGGUUAAGUCCCGCAACGAGCGCAACCCUUGUCCUUAGUUGCUACGCAAGAGCACUCUAAGGAGACUGCCGGUGACAAACCGGAGGAAGGUGGGGAUGACGUCAAGUCCUCAUGGCCCUUAUGGG
rnacentral:rRNA from 1 species